UGUGGCCGAAGCCGGAUUUCUCGCAGGCCGGCCCAUCUGACAGCCUGAGGGGAGUUGGCCAUGGGUACCAACCUCCACGACUCAGCGCGCCCCGCCCUUCCCACCGCCUCACUCCCGCCUCUACUCGCCUCGCCCUCCGAGCCACGCCCCCUCGGACAUGCGCGGUGCCGCCGGGCCGCGCACGUUGAGGCGGCCCUCGGUGGGGUUGGGGCUUAGGGACUCGCGCGGACUUGGCGGUUGGUGACACUUCUUAGAACCCGUGCGGAAGCUCUUAAGUCGGUAUUUGAAACGUAAACCCACCGGCUACGAUGGAAAUACCGGUACCUGGAAACCUGGAACUUGCCUUUUCAAAGCCACCUUUCUCGCCGUCACCUCUGUCCCUCGGGGCUGCCAUAAUCGUCCCCAUGGACCCUCGGUGGUGUGGCUCCCCGCAGAGUGCCCCUUGGAGCCCUGGGCUGGCUGAACAGCUUAUUAGAGGGACUGACUGCCCAGUGCGGUGUUUUGAAAAGGAGAAACAUGACAGUGGACAGGCCCAAUUCUGCGUGGUACAGAUGGGAAAGUCAGGCGGGCAGUUACUCCAUCACUACACACGUCUCAAACUCACUUCAGCAAAGCUCCAAUUCUGUGCAGGAAGGAUGCAAAAAAAGCAAAAUAUCCAUGGUAUAACUUUCUGGAGCAUCAGUCCUACUGCCAGAUUUGGAAGAAAUGAAGUUAAGUAAUUUCCAAGGAAAAAGGGAAAACGCUAUUUGUGAAGAACUGUUAAGUGCCAAGCACUAUGAUAAUCAAAAAAGCCUAUGCCGAAGGGUUGUACCUCAACCUAGAGGACAUGCCAAAAAAGAACUUUCAAUCAAGGACCCUUCCAAAACUCUUCAGUGACCUCACCAAGCAGUGUGACUCUGGAAAAAGCUCAAAUCUCACCCUAAAUGAGAUGCCUAUUCCCAGUGCCUGAGAGGACAGAGGCCCAGAGCACACUUGUGGCAGAUCCCCUGGGCAGAGGUGUGACCCAGCAGUUCAGGGCAGUAUCUCCCCUCCCUGACAAACAUGGAGGAAGAGACAGAAGAGCAGGAGGGAAGAAGUGCCCCAGGACAACAGUUCAGUCUCUGAAGAUUCAUCCAGGUUGGGACAAAGGGCCAGCCUCUCUACUUAUCUCCCCAUUGGCUCCCAACCAUCCUUUAAGCUCACCAGCAUUUUGGAUUCAAUGCCUUUGAAUGCUGUGGAAGUGCAGGUACUCCCUUGAUUUGAAUCCCAUGCAGAGUGCCUUGGCAGUCCGCACCUGCUAUCCUCCCCUGCACGCAGGCCUCGGCUUCCCUGUGCACGCGCUGUAAGCUCCUUGCACCACUCCCGUCUCCGCAGCUGUCGCCUCAUCACUGGCUCGGCUCCCACACCUGUCGCUGGGCUCUGUGCAACUCAGGAUCUUCUUGCUCCCUCUUUAAAAGCAGUCUUUGGUUUUAUCCCUGCCUCGGCUAUCCACCAUGUGAGCUUUUGCUGGCUUCACUGUGUUUGAAGGGCCACGCCAGUUCUUUCUGGGCAGCCUGAAACACGGGUAUCUGUCUGAGGAGGAAGUUGAAGAAGCUCCCAACAGUCCCCUGUCAGCCCUGGCUGUUGCCAAAGGGAGAGGCUGGGGUCCCAUCACCGGGCCACCCAGGAUGGAGGGAGUUUCUGUUGUAGGAUAAACCCCGAGGGCAGCUGGUUCCAUGUGGGGCUCUACCACAUGGAUGGUAGGUGCUGUGGGUAGAGGGGAGGCCCCAGGGCCACACUGGGGACUGUGCUAGGGAUUGGGGGGUCCUUGUCUCCAGGCUUGGUGGGCGACUGGCAGACACUUUGGCUGGGCUGCUGGCCUUCCACUGACUCCCAGUCCUCCCCAGGCUGCCAACUUUCUGAGUUACAGAAUGCAACAAAGGUGGGAAUGAUGGGCUCACCACAACCGCAUUUCUUUGUGUUGGCAGAGACCCUAGGCUGAAGUGUGCAGGAUGGGGAAGGACAGCAGCUGUUCGUAGGAUCAGCUGAAGGUGGGGGCUUCACAGCAGUGGUCCACCCCUCCGCCUUGGGGCUCUUGCAGCCUAGGAUCAGGUAGUUGGCCAUCACGUCAUCAUAACUCCAGCCCAUCAGCAGGUCCUGGAUCUGGUGCCACCCAUAACCCAUGGAUAACGUCACCUCAGUUCUGCCAGGGGUCCUUGUAGCCCAGGGGGUGGCUGGAUGUAAGGCUUUAGUUCCUCUUCAUGGACCAUGUUCAUCCAGGGGUCCUUCAUGGUUUCCUCUAAAGCGCUUCUCUCACUGGGAUUGAAGGCCAGGAAUUGCUCUAGUAGGUUUUCACACUCCACAGACAUAUAAAGGGGAAUGCAGUAUAUUCCGCUCAGUACCCACUCCCACAGCCCCCCAAAGUCCUGUAAAGGCAGGCAUCUGCUGGUCACUGGACAGUCAUUGUAUAGAGGAUGGCUCCAGGCUCCACACGGCCACUGCGAGGCUGUUGUACUUUUGGCAUAAGGGGGACUACCACAGAAGGUGUUUAGCUUAUGGCCGACAGUGAACUCAUUGCUGAAGCCAAAGUCUACAACCUUGAUGUUCAGGUCGGCUUCCAAAAGCAGGUUCUCUGGCUUUAGGUCCCUGGGGAUGAUACCCUCCUGGCAAUGGUACUACACAGUGAACACUAUCUGGCAGAAUCUGCCUCCGGGGCUGCUCCUUUCUCAUGCAGGCAUGGUCCAGUGGGUGAUCAAGUGCCUGUAGUGUACUCCGUGACCAGAUAGAGUGUUUCCGUGGUGUCAGUCACCUUGAGUGGUUUCAUGACUCAAGGGUCGUGAUUCAGGGCCUCCAGGCUCUGGACUUCAAGGAAUAGUCUGUGGAGGCUGGAGGAGCUCUGCUGGCUCUUGUUAAUGACCUUCAUGGAUGCUUCUGUCCCACUUAGGUUGUGCCAGACCGACCUCACUUCAGCAAAGCCGCCCUGGCCAAAGGUCUUGAGGAGCCAGUGGUUGUCAGUGCAGGUCUCCUGGUCGCAGGCAUGGCUGUGAGGUCCCGCAGCUCAGCAACUUACUGCUAGCAAUACUAACUAGAAAUGCCCCCUAACAGUACUAACAAACUAUAUAAAGAUGAGAAAAAAAGAAACAAAAGAGAAAGAGAACAGAGAGGAAAAAAGCUAACUGUGGUCCAAAGUCCCUCAGCUCACCAAACACCAGCUCACUGGCCUAAAAGAACUAAAAAAUGUAGGCCUGGCCAAGGGCUUUUACAGAGAGGUACUUAGGAUUCUCUCUUGAUGGCUCUUCUUGAAGUCGGUGCAAGAAAGGGACCUGUUAAGGCUGGGGAUAAUUCACAAUGGUCUUCUCACUUGGGUCUCAGGAACCCUUUACUCUAAAUAAAGGGGGAGGGGAACACCCCCAAAGGCCUUUUUGUUUAUGUGGCUUAGAGUGAUUGAUAUUUACCUUACUAAAAAUUAAGGAUGCUUUGGUGGCCUUUUCAUGUUUAGUUUGGAAAUCUGUAAUAAUUUUUGGUGUUUAAAGAAAGCCAUGAUGUCUAUACUUCAAAUAAUUCAGUUCCUUUUUCUUAAAACUCUGGCUGAUCAGUGUCAACAUGAUACCACAGUUUAACUGGCUUCACAGUAGCUAUGAACAAAGACUCUCCUUGACUAAACUUUAGUCAUUCUUCUCUAGGCCUGGACCUUGUAGUCUGUCCUUGGCUAUCCUGCACCACCCAGUUGUAGCAAGAAUCUUGUCAAGUCAGUUUAGAGAGAACUCUCCACCCUCAACAUCUGAUAAUAUUCUUCAUCUACCCGCUUUGGUAUCUGUGAGAAAAUAAAACAUAUAUAUUGGUGUCUGCCCCCAGUUCCUGGCACAGGAACUGAAACCCUUAAAUUUCCCAAGUGUUCAGAGCACUAGGAGCGUCUCUUGUUCUAAUAUUUUGUCUUCAACCCCAGCUCCUGACAGAGGACUCCUAAAUCCCUUGGAAUUUCCUGGGUGGUAAGAAUGUCUUGUUCUAAUGAGGCAACUCUGGAGGGGCUCCUGGAUGACUCCUGGACAGAGACUGUCAUCAGAAAGGCCAAGCCAUGAUUGGAGCUGGACUAUUCGGCUCCAUACCACUGCCCCUCACCAAUCCUCAAGAGAGGGGAAAGGGGCUGGAAAUGGAGUUAAUGAUCUACAUGAGGAAGCCUCCAUAAAAAUCCCAAUAUUACAGGGUUCAGAGAGUCUCCACAUGGAUGAACACAUCCACAUUGGGAGGGUAAUGCACCCCAGCUCCAUAGGGACAGAAGCUCCUGUGCUCAGGACCCUCCCAGACCUCGCCCAGUGUAUCUCUUCAUCUAACUGGUCACGUAUCCUUUAUCACAUCCUUUAAUACAGUGGUAAACAGAAGUGUUUCCCGAGCCCUGUGAGCCACUCUAGCAAAUGAAUUGAACCUACGGAAGGGGUUGUUGGAAGUUCCACUCUAGAGCUUAUCAGUCAGAAGCACAGGUGAUAACCUGGACUUGGAUUGGCAUCUGAAGUGGGGGAGGGGCGGCUGCUUUGUGGGUCUGAACCUUAACCUGUGGAACCUGAUGCUAUCUCUGGACAGAUAGUGUCAGAAUUGAGUUGAAUUGCAGGACACCCCAGCUGAUGUCAUGGAGAAUUGCUUCAUGUAGGGAAAAAAACCACUCUUUUGGUGACCAGAAGUGAAGUGUUUUGUGUGAGUAGUAAGGGAGAUUCACAGGAGAAAGACUCAGGGGUGGAAAGACUGUGGGUUUUCCUUUGUACAGCAUCUGACCACCCUGGCCUGCCUUCAGCAAGAAUCCUGUCGGGUCUGUUUAACUAGAAUCUUUCUAUUCCUGAGGUUGCCUCUUAGUAAUUUUCCAUCCCCUGACCCUGACCCUCCUCUUUGGCUUUUUUUAGUCCCCAUUUUGUGCUGUCCUAGGGGUGGGGCCCAGUUCUAUACUGAGGCCUCUUUUUCCCCUGUUGCAAUAGUUUCUGAAUAAAACCUGCUUUUACUGCAUUAACUACUACUGUCCAGCUCCGGUUCUUCUUUUUUCUUUUUAUAUUUUUUUCUUCCAAAUUGGUUUUUCUUUAACACUGUAGGGAAAUAUUCUGUUGCAUAUGACGCAAUAAGGUAUGUAACAACUUCUGUAAAGUUGAGGGGAAGAUAGCUUUCAUCAUAUUUUUAUUUCUUAUUUCCAAAUUUUGCUCACAGUCUUUGGAAUAGAUUUCUCCCUUCCAUGAGCCAGAGAACUUGCUAUGUCCAUUGCAGUAUCUUUAAAUUAGAGGUUGCAGCUGUGGGUCACGAAAGCAAAUCUUUAUUUUUUUAAGCCCACAGAGCCGUUGUGCUCCAUGUCCAUAUCAUUCAGCAUGGGCCUGGGGAUCCAAGUAUGGGCUUGGCAUCAAGACGUGAGGGGAGGGAGAAGUCCAUUUAUUCCUUCUCUAACAUUCUUCCUUUCUUCAUGUAGAUCUGAGUUUCUUACCUAUAUAAUUUUCCUUCUCUCUGAAGAACUUCUUUUAACAUUUCUUGACAGGCAGAUCUACAAAAUCCUCAAAUUUUGUUUGUCCAAGAGAGUAUUUUUCCUUCAUUUUUUUUUUGAAGGAUAUUUUGCUGGACACAGAAUUCUAGAUUGGUGGGUUUCUGCAGAGAAGUCUAGUGAAAAUCUUAUCUUUGUUUCUCUAUAAAUAAGGUGUAUUUCCUCCACCGGGCUUCUUACAAUUCAAGAUCUUCUCUGUGUCUUUGAUUUUUCUGCAGUUUGAAUAUGAUAUGCCUAAGUGUAGACUUUUUUUGGUAUUUGCUUACAAUUUUUUGAGCUUCCUGGUUGUAGUUUGGUGUCUGUCAUUCAUUUUGGAAAAUUCUCAGCCGUUAUUACUUCGUAGAUUCCUUCUUUCUUGUCCUUUUGUAUUACAAGUAUGAUUACACUUUUAUAAUUGUCCUACAGUUCUUAGAUAUUCUGUUUCAUUCUUUUUUCUCUUUGCUUUUCGGUUUGGGGAGUUUCUAGUGACAUAUCUUCAAGCUCAUGGAUUCUUUUCUCAACUGUGUCCAGUCUACUGAUGAACCCAUC